GCGUUGGAGCCCGAUGAGCAGCCGAGAUCGGCUAUGCCGAGGCUUCGCGGCCUCAACGCCGAAUACGUUUCUUCCAUGGCUUCCAAGGCUAUGUCUUGAAUCCUUUCAGCAGCAUUUUCUUGUGGAGGUGACAAAUUAGUUAACUAUCUCUAUAGAGAGAGAGAGAGAGGAUUGAUUAAUUUACCUGAAGAGAUGAGUUCUCGUGAUAGCUUGUUUCUCCAAUUCCUCCAUUCAUGUGAAACACUUUCUCCACGUCCAUGGCGAUGAAGGGC
rnacentral:lncRNA from 1 species